rnacentral:rRNA from 1 species
AACGAACGCUGGCGGCAGGCCUAACACAUGCAAGUCGAGCGAAGCCUUCGGGCUUAGCGGCGGACGGGUGAGUAACGCGUGGGAACGUGCCCUUUGCUACGGAAUAGCCCCGGGAAACUGGGAGUAAUACCGUAUGUGCCCUUCGGGGGAAAGAUUUAUCGGCAAAGGAUCGGCCCGCGUUGGAUUAGGUAGUUGGUGGGGUAAUGGCCUACCAAGCCGACGAUCCAUAGCUGGUUUGAGAGGAUGAUCAGCCACACUGGGACUGAGACACGGCCCAGACUCCUACGGGAGGCAGCAGUGGGGAAUCUUAGACAAUGGGGGAAACCCUGAUCUAGCCAUGCCGCGUGAUCGAUGAAGGCCUUAGGGUUGUAAAGAUCUUUCAGUGGGGAAGAUAAUGACUGUACCCACAGAAGAAGCCCCGGCUAACCCCGUGCCAGCCGCCGCAGUAAAAC